rfam:Camelus ferus unplaced genomic scaffold scaffold2272, whole genome shotgun sequence.
GAGGCUAUAGCUUAAUGUAGAGAGCAUGUUUAGAAUGCACAAGGUCCUGGGUUCAAUCCCCAGUACCUCCA